GUUGUCUUCUUCAGGACGUUGUCUUCAGGACGUUGUCUUCUUCAGGACGUCGUCUUCAGGAUGUUGUCUUCUUCAGGAUGUUGUCUUCUUCAGGACGAUGUCUUCAGGACGUUGUCUUCAGGACGACGUUGUCUUCAGGACGUUGUCUUCUUCAGGACGAUGUCUUCAGGACGAUGUCUUCAGGACGAUGUCUUCUUCAGGACGUUGUCUUCUUCAGGACGACGUCGUCUUCAGGAUGUUGUCUUCUUCAGGACGUUGUCUUCUUCAGGACGUUGUCAUCUUCAGGACGUUGUCUUCUUCAGGACGUUGUCUUCAGGACGAUGUCUUCAGGACGUUGUCUUUAUCUUGUUGUUACGUUCUGUUAAUGCAUUAUCUUGUCGGUACA
rnacentral:lncRNA from 1 species